CUGAUAUUUCUUCUUUCAUUUUGUGGUCUUUAUUUUUU
rnacentral:antisense_RNA from 1 species